AUGAAGUUAUGCAGCCACAUUGAUGCCAACAUGGCGGCGACCAGUUUGGUCUUAGCUGAGCAGCAUUGCUGCAAUGGACUCAAGGAAGCCUGUCUACAGUUCCUUGCUUCUCCUUCCAAUUUGGAGGCGAUGAUGGCAAGUGAUGGCUACAAACAUCUCAAAAGCAGUUGCCCAUCUGCCCUCAAGGAGUUGAUUGCUAGGCUCCUGCCGCCUUAUAUGAAAGCUGCCAAGGAUAUUGUCAUGGCACUUUAG
rnacentral:rRNA from 1 species